rnacentral:tRNA from 1 species
GGGGACUUAGCUCAGUGGUAGAGCACUUGCCUAGCAUGCAUGAAGCCCUAGGUUCAAUCCUCAGUACCCC